ensembl:lncRNA
GCAUUUCCAAAUUGUCAUAGUGUGUGAAUGUGUGUGUGAUUGUGCCCCAUAUUGUACAUUGCAGUUUAUAGGGAAUAAGGAGUGGGAGUGUGUGUGUGUGUAAUAUAGACUACUGUAAGGUACAUUGCAGUCAUGGACCAUGUUAUAGAUCUGUGCACAUUAGCCUCCUGCUCUAUUUUGGUCAUCAGUAAGUAGAAACACGGCUCAUAAAGACACACAUACACAUGCUCUCAUAUAUAUGCAGUACUUCCUGCAUACACACACUCUCCAUGUCAUGUCCAGGUCAACCCAAGGUCAAUUCCACUUUUUCACAGCUGGACAGUUUUCCUUUAUUUUUUUCCAAAUGAAAUUCUAAUUGUAUAUUGCUUAUUCUAUGUUUAAAGUAUAUUAUGUUGGUUAAAAGCCUGAAGUGUGGAGAGGGUCCCAGUUAUUCUCAGUGAGCAGCAAGCUGAAUCUGUAGCUUUGGCAUGUCAAAGUCUUUCGAUUUUUUUUUUUUAGAUUCAGACACAAGACUCCAUCCUACUGCAGCAUUCUGAACGGAUGCGAGAGAGUAACAGAGAGCGAGCGGAAGCACCCCUCUCCUCUCCUCGCAGCCCCAUCAGCUGCUGACAGGCAGAGCAAAGAGACUCUUACACAAUCGGAGAUCGGAAACAACUUGUUACAACCUUGGUCCCAGUAUGAGAAACUCCGCACAGACCGUAACCUGAGCUGAGGAUCGAACUGGGAGCUGUGAGGCAGCAACUCUACCCACUGCUGUGCCACCGGGAACAUUCAUGAAGAUUGAGUUUCUUUUUUCUUGUUUAUUUUCUUAUUUAUUAACAUAGCUUAAGGCUGAGUCUUGCUAAAGCCACAGCAUGCUGACUUAGUUUCGCAAUUCCCUCAUUUUACACACACGCACACGCAACGCAAACGCACACACACACACACACACACACACACACACACACACACACACACACACACUAUUGCCAUCAGGGUCACCUAUGCAGGUAUGUUCAUGCUGCACUGGUUUCACUGUGUAUAAGGCCUAGGGGUAUAGUGCAUACAAACUUACUGGCUUAGUGUGUCCUGACUGAUCCAGUCAAUCAAACAAUCAACUGAAU